rnacentral:rRNA from 1 species
AGAUUGAACGCUGGCGGCAUGCCUUACACAUGCAAGUCGAACGGCAGCACGGGAGCAAUCCUGGUGGCGAGUGGCGAACGGGUGAGUAAUAUAUCGGAACGUGCCCAGUAAUGGGGGAUAGCCCGGCGAAAGCCGGAUUAAUACCGCAUACGACCUACGGGUGAAAGCGGGGGAUCGCAAGACCUCGCGUUAUUGGAGCGGCCGAUAUCAGAUUAGCUUGUUGGCGGGUAAAAGCCACCAAGGCAACGAUCUGUAGCUGGUCUGAGAGGACGACCAGCCACACCUGGGACUGAGACACGGCCCAGACUCCUACGGGAGCAGCAGUGGGAAUUUUGGACAAUGGGCGCAAGGCCUGGACUCCAGCCCAAUGUCCGCGUAGGUGGGAAGAAGGG